rnacentral:rRNA from 1 species
CCCAAGGUUUCCUACGCGAUGCUCGUCAUCGUAGGGUUAGUCGGGUCCUAAGUCGAGUCCGAAAGGGGUAGACGAUGGCAAAUUGGUUAAUAUUCCAAUACCAACAUUAGUGUGCGAUGGAAGGACGCUUAGGGCUAAGGGGGCUAGCGGAUGGAAGUGCUAGUCUAAGGUUGUAGGAGGUUAUACAGGCAAAUCCGUAUAACAAUACUCCGAGAACUGAAAGGCUUUUUGAAGUCUUCGGAUGGAUAGAAGAACCCCUGAUGCCGUCGAGCCAAGAAAAGUUUCUAAGUUUAGCUAAUGUUGCCCGUACCGUAAACCGACACAGGUGGGUGGGAUGAGUAUUCUAAGGCGCGUGGAAGAACUCUCUUUAAGGAACUCUGCAAAAUAGCACCGUAUCUUCGGUAUAAGGUGUGGUUAGCUUCGUACUAGGAUUUACUCCGAAAGCGAAGAAACUUACAACAAAGAGUCCCUCCCGACUGUUUACCAAAAACACAGCACUCUGCUAACUCGUAAGAGGAUGUAUAGGGUGUGACGCCUGCCCGGUGCUCGAAGGUUAAUUGAUGGGGUUAGCAUUAGCGAAGCUCUUGAUCGAAGCCCGAGUAAACGGCGGCCGUAACUAUAACGGUCCUAAGGUAGCGAAAUUCCUUGUCGGUUAAAUACCGACCUGCAUGAAUGGCGUAACGAGAUGGGAGCUGUCUCAAAGAGGGAUCCAGUGAAAUUGUAGUGGAGGUGAAAAUUCCUCCUACCCGCGGCAAGACGGAAAGACCCCGUGGACCUUUACUACAGCUUGACACUGCUACUUGGAUAAGAAUGUGCAGGAUAGGUGGGAGGCUUUGAGUAUAUGACGCCAGUUGUAUAUGAGCCAUUGUUGAGAUACCACUCUUUCUUAUUUGGGUAGCUAACCAGCUUGAGUUAUCCUCAAGUGGGACAAUGUCUGGUGGGUAGUUUGACUGGGGCGGUCGCCUCCCAAAUAAUAACGGAGGCUUACAAAGGUUGGCUCAGAACGGUUGGAAAUCGUUCGUAGAGUAUAAAGGUAUAAGCCAGCUUAACUGCAAGACAUACAAGUCAAGCAGAGACGAAAGUCGGUCUUAGUGAUCCGGUGGUUCUGUGUGGAAGGGCCAUCGCUCAAAGGAUAAAAGGUACCCCGGGGAUAACAGGCUGAUCUCCCCCAAGAGCUCACAUCGACGGGGAGGUUUGGCACCUCGAUGUCGGCUCAUCGCAUCCUGGGGCUGGAGCAGGUCCCAAGGGUAUGGCUGUUCGCCAUUUAAAGCGGUACGCGAGCUGGGUUCAGAACGUCGUGAGACAGUUCGGUCCCUAUCUGCCGUGGGCGUAAGAAGAUUGAAGAGAUUUGACCCUAGUACGAGAGGACCGGGUUGAACAAACCACUGGUGUAGCUGUUGUUCUGCCAAGAGCAUCGCAGCGUAGCUAAGUUUGGAAAGGAUAAACGCUGAAAGCAUCUAAGCGUGAAGCCAACUCUAAGAUGAAUCUUCUCUAAGCUCUCUAGAAGACUACUAGUUUGAUAGGCUGGGUGUGUAAUGGAUGAAAGUCCUUUAGCUGACCAGUACUAAUAGAGCGUUUGGCUUAUCUUUAUAAAGCAU